rnacentral:rRNA from 1 species
AACGAACGCUGGCGGCGCGCCUAAUACAUGCAAGUCGAGCGAGAAGACGUAGCAAUACGUUUGUAAAGCGGCGAACGGGUGAGGAAUACUUGGGUAACCUACCCUCGAGUGGGGAAUAACUAACCGAAAGGUUAGCUAAUACCGCAUACGACUCCUGGUCUGCGGAUCGGGAGGGAAAGCGAUACCGUGGGUAUCGCGCUCUUGGAUGGGCUCAUGACCUAUCAGCUUGUUGGUGAGGUAACGGCUCACCAAGGCUUCGACGGGUAGCUGGUCUGAGAGGACGAUCAGCCACACUGGCACUGCGAAACGGGCCAGACUCCUACGGGAGGCAGCAGUAAGGAAUAUUGCGCAAUGGGCGACAGCCUGACGCAGCGACGCCGCGUGGGGGAUGAAGGUCUUCGGAUUGUAAACCCCUUUCGGCAGGGAAGAUGGAACGGGUAACCGUUCGGACGGUACCUGCAGAAGCAGCCACGGCUAACUUCGUGCCAGCAGCCGCCGUAAUAC